GUGGGGAAUAUUCCGCAAUGGACGAAAGUCUGACGGAGCAACGCCGCGUGAGUGAUGAAGGUUUUCGGACUGUAAAGCUCUGUUGUUUAGGACGAAAGUGCCUGUUGCAAAUAGUUACAGGUAUUGACGGUACUGAACGAGGAAGCCACGGCUAACUACGUGCCAGCAGCCGCGGUAAUACGUAGGUGGCAAGCGUUGUCCGGAAUUAUUGGGCGUAAAGAGCAUGUAGGCGGGAAUCUAAGUCUGUUGUGAAAAUGCGGGGCUCAACCCCGUAUUGCGAUGGAAACUGGGUUUCUUGAGUGCAGGAGAGGAAAGGGGAAUUCCAAGUGUAGCGGUGAAAUGCGUAGAGAUUUGGAAGAACACCAGUGGCGAAGGCGACUUUCUGGACGAUGUCUGACGCUGAGGCGCGAAAGCGUGGGGAGCAAACAGGAUUAGAAACCCGUGUAGUCC
rnacentral:rRNA from 1 species